rnacentral:lncRNA from 1 species
CGUGCAUGUGUGUUAGGUGGGGGUCUGUAUGCCUCUCGCUCUCUCUCUGUCUCUCCACGCCCCCAAUCUUUCAUCCCAGUGCACCCAUAGGUUAGAUGCAAAGGUAACAGAAAGACCGGGGGCUCUAUAAAGACCCGCUUUGUUCAUUCGAUCUCUCUGCUGCUUUUUUUUAUUUCUUCGGUCUUUCUUGUUACCAUCACCAUACAUCAAAAUGCCCAGCAAGAGGAAGAAGAACAGGCGUCGCAUGAGGAGGGUGCAGGCCCAGAGGAGAAUCCUUGAAGAGCAACAUGCGGCCAACCCAACAGUCAAAGCGGGUCCCGGGAUUGCAGUCUGUGCGCCCCCUGCAGCGAUCCCAAAGAAAGCGGCUAAAGCUCAUGCACCCGCUCCAGCUCCAGUUAAGAUCCCCAUGGUCGUUCCCAUUGCAGUCCCAAUUGUUGAGAUCCCCAUAAAAGAACCAGAACCAGUUGUCGAAGAACCUGUCGCCAAGCCCGUCCCAGUCGAGGUAGUGGCACCAGAGCCUGAGGCUGUGGUGUUGGAACUGGCACCAGUAGAAGUUGAGGUUGAAGUCCCAGUCGAGGUAGUGGCACCAGAGCCUGAGGCUGUGGUGUUGGAACAGGCACCAGUAGAAGUUGAGGUUGAAGUCCCAGUCGAGGUAGCGGCACCAGAGCCUGAGGCUGUGGUGUUGGAACAGGCACCAGUAGAAGUUGAGGUUGAAGUCCCAGUCGAGGUAGUGGCACCAGAGCCUGAGGCUGUGGUGUUGGAACAGGCACCAGUAGAAGUUGAGGUUGAAGUACCAGCCCCGGUCCCUGAAGAAGCACCAGUCAUUGAGACUCCACCAGAGGAGCCCGCUAUAGUUGAGGCUGCAGUUGUACAAGAGGCUGAACCUAUCAUUCCUGAAACAGAACCAGUAACAGAGGUCAUACCUCCAGCUGAGGCUCCAGUAGAAGCCCUCGUUGAGACUGAGAUUCAGACAGAGGAGACUACAACCGUAACAACAGAGACUGAACUGGAUGUUCCUGCCCAAUCUGUGGAAAUCCCAGAGGUGCCAGCCACCGUCCCUGAGGUAGAAGAGGCUGUAACUGAAGUCAAAGAGGACACUGCUGACAGCCUGGUUGAUGACUUUGUUGUCACAGAAUCUGUCUCAGACGUGGAGGUCGCCAUUGCUGAGUCUGCUGCUGUCCAGCCGGAAAUUGUGGAAGUGAGUGACACCCCUUCAGAAUCUGUGGAUGCGACGCCCGUUGCUGCACCUGCAGAGGAAAUGGUCAUUGACGCCACUGCUGAGCAGACAUGCUUGGAUAUUCUGUCAGAGCUGAAGCCAGAAAUGUGUGACAUGCCCUGUCAGAUGCAGCGUGCUGUGGAGUCUGUGCAGCUCAACUCAAUGGAGAUGUCAGUGGAGGCAAAGCUGAAUGGACACAUUGUUCCAGAGCUCGCCAUUGAGGGCUAGAUCCACUUCACACAGCUUGGAAGACCUUCUUUGUCUUU